AAAGCCCCGCAAGGGGCAAGUAGAGUGGCAAACGGGUGAGUAACACGUGGGUGACCUGCCUUCGAGCGGGGGAUAACGUCCCGAAAGGGACGCUAAUACCGCAUGACAUCCUGCCUUUGAAGAGGUGGAGAUCAAAGUUGGGGAUCGCAAGACCCAGCACUCGAAGAGGGGCCCGCGCCUGAUUAGCUAGUUGGUGGGGUAACGGCUCACCAAGGCGACGAUCAGUAGCCGGCCUGAGAGGGCGGACGGCCACACUGGGACUGAGACACGGCCCAGACUCCUACGGGAGGCAGCAGUGGGGAAUUGUUCGCAAUGGGCGCAAGCCUGACGACGCAACGCCGCGUGGAGGACGAAGACCUUCGGGUCGUAAACUCCUUUCGAUCGAGACGAAUGGCCUUCGGGUAAACAAUCCGGAGGAGUGACGGUACCGAGAGAAGAAGCCCCGGCUAACUCCGUGCCAGCAGCCGCGGUAAUACGGGGGGGGCAAGCGUUGUUCGGAAUUACUGGGCGUAAAGGGCUCGUAGGUGGCCAACUAAGUCAGACGUGAAAUCCCUCAGCUUAACUGGGGAACUGCGUCUGAUACUGGAUGGCUUGAGAUUGGGAGAGGGAUGCGGAAUUCCAGGUGUAGCGGUGAAAUGCGUAGAUAUCUGGAGGAACACCGGUGGCGAAGGCGGCAUCCUGGACCAACACUGACACUGAGGAGCGAAAGCCAGGGGAGCAAACGGGAUUAGAUACCCCGGUAGUCCUGGCCCUAAACGAUGAAUGCUUGGUGUGGCGGGUAUCGAU
rnacentral:rRNA from 1 species